rnacentral:rRNA from 1 species
AUUGAACGCUGGCGGCAUGCCUUACACAUGCAAGUCGAACGGCAGCAUAGGAGCUUGCUCCUGAUGGCGAGUGGCGAACGGGUGAGUAAUAUAUCGGAACGUGCCCUAGAGUGGGGGAUAACUAGUCGAAAGACUAGCUAAUACCGCAUACGAUCUACGGAUGAAAGUGGGGGAUCGCAAGACCUCAUGCUCCUGGAGCGGCCGAUAUCUGAUUAGCUAGUUGGUGGGGUAAAAGCCUACCAUGGCAACGAUCAGUAGCUGGUCUGAGAGGACGACCAGCCACACUGGGACUGAGACACGGCCCAGACUCCUACGGGAGGCAGCAGUGGGGAAUUUUGGACAAUGGGGGCAACCCUGAUCCAGCAAUGCCGCGUGAGUGAAGAAGGCCUUCGGGUUGUAAAGCUCUUUUGUCAGGGAAGAAACGGUAGUAGCGAAUAACUACUACUAAUGACGGUACCUGAAGAAUAAGCACCGGCUAACUACGUGCCAGCAGCCGCAGUAA